UACGUAGGGUGCUAGCGUUGUUCGGAAUCAUUGGGCGUAAAGCGCGUGUAGGCGGUUAGUUAAGUCAGAUGUGAAAUCCCUGGGCUCAACCGAGGAAGUGCAUUUGAAACUAAUUAGCUAGAGAGUGGUAGAGGAAGGUGGAAUUCCGUGUGUAGAGGUGAAAUUCGUAGAUAUCGGGAAGAAUACCGGUGGCGAAGGCGUUCCGCUGGGCCGUUGCUGACGCUGAGGCGCGACAGCGUGGGGAGCAAACAGGG
rnacentral:rRNA from 1 species